GCCCAGUGAUGAGACCAAGGCGAAUACGAGCUGACUGAAUGAGAGUUGGGUUCUUCUGGCCUGGACUGGCAGGUAAUCUUGGCAGAGCAGAGGAGGAUUCCUGCUCUGCUGUAAGGGCCUGCCUACAGUGACUCUGCUCAGCCCAAAUUAUUCCUCCACAGUCACAGAGGAGUAAAUUCAGGGAUGGAGCUGACAGUGUGUGUGAGUGUUGUGUGUGUGUGUGUGUGUGUGUUGGAGGCCGGUUGUUCAUCCAGCUCUCGUUUCUGUUCAGUCGGCCAUGAGUAGCUUCUUUGGUAAUCUGAGGGCG